UAGAUGGAGGCCUGUUGGUUUAGGCACCUAGCUGUUAACUAGGAGAUUGUGGGAUCGAGGCCCACCUGUCUAG
rnacentral:tRNA from 1 species